UCAGACGAGGAGGGCUGACGAGCUGGCCCGCGAUUGGCCCGCAGCGCCUGGGCGGGGCCUGCGGGGAGGAAGGGCUGCAGCUCACAGCAACAGAGUUUAGACCCGUCUUUGCUUCAUCAUCUGAAGGUAAAAAAUUUUCCAGCCUCCGCCGGCGGCUCGCAGAGUACAAUAAACAGGGACGCAGAACUGUUUGCAUGGACCUCGCUCGCUCAUGAUGCGGUGGAGAAGCCGCGGCCACUCGGUGCUGCCGGAUGCUCUCGGGGCCACUGUCCAUGGGGAGGACGAGCAGAGCUGAACAAGGAAGGCUUCCAAAUCUCACUUUCUACUCCAUCACCGUCUGUGCUUAUCGGGAAGAUACAUUUCAAGCUACUCACCCUCCAACAACUUACCAACAACUCGAAAUAUAGCCGAUCUCAGGUCUUUGAAAGCUGCAGUGUUUACGUUUGACUCUAUCUGUUUAUGUCUGCACCUGACAGCCAUUGCUGUGUCCAGACUCGUCACUUGUGUGGUGGUAAACUGAGGCUGAGAGGGCAGUUGUGACUUGCCCCAGAUCUCCCAGGCAGUAUGUGCUGUGCAGAAGUUAAAUCUCAGUUCUUUGAACUCCCAACUGUGUCCAUUUCCGGCAGCUAAGUGAGUGUUCCAUGGAGCACCCAUCACACACACACACACACACACACACACACACACACACACACACACACACACACCCUGGGUGACCAAGUGUGGAAGGAGAAGCAGGGAAAACUAAGCCAUCAGUUUAUGACAGAGAACAG
rnacentral:lncRNA from 1 species